UACGUAGGGUGCAAGCGUUAAUCGGAAUUACUGGGCGUAAAGCGUGCGCAGGCGGUUUUGUAAGACUGUCGUGAAAUCCCCGGGCUUAACCUGGGAAUGGCGAUGGUGACUGCAAGGCUAGAGUUUGGCAGAGGGGGGUAGAAUUCCACGUGUAGCAGUGAAAUGCGUAGAGAUGUGGAGGAACACCGGUGGCGAAGGCGACAUCCUGGACCGGUAUUGACGCUGAGGCGCGAAAGCCAGGGGAGCAAACGGG
rnacentral:rRNA from 1 species